AUGGACUUGAGCCCGCUUGCAAUUGGCCAGAUUUUGUAUAUAAGCUGUGUGCUGAGGAAGGAGGGGGCUUUCCUGUCCACUCUCCUCCCUUCAUUCUUUCUCUGUCACUGUUAUUUUCUCAUUAAAAGUCUACUGAAGACCGAUAAGCUGCGAACAGUGUCGUUUCUUUGCGGGCAAGGGAGCGACAAGUGGUUCCAUGACUCGGAUUCGGACCACUUUCUACACGCAGGAAUAGGUAAGGAACAAAAGAUAGGUUAAGCCUACAGCCUCCACCUGCAAGGCCUGAGUCCCACAUGUGCACCAGUUCAUAUCUCAGCUGCUCCACUUCUGAUCCAGCUCCCUGAUAAUAUAAUAGCCUGGGCAAAGCAACAGAAGAUGGUCCAAGUUCGGGCCUCUACCACCCACGUGGGAGAAGUUACUGCCUCCUGGCUUCAGCCUGCCCAAGCCCAACUUUUGCAGCGCUUUGGUGAGUGAACCAGCAGAUGGAAAAUUGCUAUUUCUCUGUCUCUUCCUCUUUCUGUGCAUCUUUUUCAAAAAAGUCAUAAAUCUUAAAAGUUCUUCCAUGGCCCGUGCUUUGGUAUUCUAUCUAAAAAGUCUUUACCACUUCUAAAAUCAUUGAGAUUUCUCUUAUGCUAUUUCCUAGCAGUUUUAUAGUUUUACAUUUUACCCUUAGGUCUGUGGUAAAUUGUGAGUUUAUUUUUUUGAAAAGUUCAAUUCUUAGGGUUUUUUGUUUUGCUUGUUUUUCAUAUGCAUGUUAAGUUGUUCUGAGUUGAUUUGUUGAAAUCAUGAUCUUAAAGCCUUUUAAUUGCCUCAUUCCUUUAUCAAAGGCAGUUGACUAUUUCUACCUAGGGUGUACCUGUGGACUUUCCAUUAGGUUCUAUCUACUUAUUUGUCUACUAUUUUAUCAACACCACACUCUCUCAGAAGCCUUAACUUUAUAGUAAUUCUUCAAAUUAGGUAAUAUGUGUCUUCCUCCUAUAUUUGUUCCUUUAAUAUGAAGUUGCUUUUGAGUAUUUUGCAUCUCUUUAUAAAAUUUAAAAUCAGGUUGUGAAUAUCAACAAUCUACUGAUUUUGAGAUUAUGAUUGAAUUAUGUUCAAUAUAUGAAUUGACAUUUGUAACUGGCAUCUUGACAAUAUUAAGUGAUCCUAUCCAUAAACAUUGAUUAUUUC
rnacentral:lncRNA from 1 species